rnacentral:rRNA from 1 species
GACGAACGCUGGCGGCGUGCUUAACACAUGCAAGUCGAACGGAAAGGCCCUGCUUUUGUGGGGUGCUCGAGUGGCGAACGGGGGAGUAACACGCGAGUAACCUGCCCUUGACUUUGGGGUAACUCCAGUAAACUGGGGCUAUUACCGGAUAUGAGCUCCUGCUGCAUGGUGUGGGUUGGUAAGAUUCGGCGGUUCGGGAUGGACUGGCGGCUUAGCAGCUUGUUGGUGGGGUAGUGGAUUACCAAGGCAUUGACGGGUAGCCGGCCUGAGAGGGUGACCGGCCACAUUGGGAUAGAGAUAGGGCCAAGACUGCUACGGGAGGCAGCAGUGGGGAAUAGUGCACGAUGGGCGGAAGCCGGAUGCAGCAACGCCGCGUGCGGGAUGACGGCCGUCGGGUUGUAAACCGCUUGAGCCUGUGACGAAGCGUGAGUGACGGUAAUGUGUAAAGAAGCACCGGCUAACUACGUG